GCCGGCGUAGCUCAGGGGUAGAGCAACUGAUUCGUAAUCAGUAGGUCCGCGGUUCAAUUCCGCGCGCCGGCACCA
rnacentral:tRNA from 1 species